UUGCGGCCAUAUCACGAUGAAAUACCAUUUCUCGUACGAUCACCGUUGUUAAGCCAUGUCGAGCCUGGUCAGUACCGAGAUGGGUGAACGCUUGAGAAUACCAGCUGUUGUAAG